UACGUAGGGUGCGAGCGUUGUCCGGAAUUAUUGGGCGUAAAGAGCUCGUAGGCGGUGUGUCGCGUCGGCCGUGAAAACCUGGGGCUUAACUCUGGGCGUGCGGUCGAUACGGGCAUCACUAGGGUUCGGCAGGGGAGACUGGAAUUCCUGGUGUAGCGGUGAAAUGCGUAGAUAUCGGGAGGAACACCAGAGGCGAAGGCGGCGAACUUGACAGUAACUGACACUCAACUGCGAAAGCGUGGGGAGCAAACAGG
rnacentral:rRNA from 1 species